UGCCACUUUUAUCUUUUCUUCGACUCCAUCAUCCAGGUCGAGGGAAUAAACUAGGUGGCUAUAUUGACUCUACCGCACUCGUUUUCGAGACUUGUGCGGGCGAGUUUCAGAGCGUGUUGCUCUUGUUCCACAAGCAAUGUGUUUUGAAGGCUUGCAACAUUU
rnacentral:snoRNA from 1 species